rnacentral:misc_RNA from 1 species
GGACAGAAUUUAGCGUGAUUUCACCCGCAUUUGUUGUUCAUUUAGCGUCGUAGCUCCAAAUCCAAGCCCAGCCUCCAUCUGUUCUAUACGCAGACAAUAAAAAAUCCAAAAUAAAAACAACCAAGAGAGAAAGUUGAAGAGAGACAAAACCCAGUUUCUUCGCUCUAGCCCUAUCGAUAUAAGAGAAGAAGAAGGUAAGUUAUCGAUGAGAGAGCUGCUGCUGCUGGUGGUUCAAGAGUAAGCAGCAGGCGAAACGAGACGGUUUAAUGGCCCUAAAGCAUGAACAGCAACUCAAGGAGGUGGGAUCGAAACUCGAGACACCUCCUUCUACCAAAGACGCUCUUAUUAAGCUCUUAAAGCAAGCUGCUGUAUGUCUUUCCGAGACGGAACAAUCGCCAUCAGCUACUAUGAUGGAGUCUAUGCAGCCUUUCUCUAAUGCAAUUGUGAAGCCAGAAUUGCUGAAGCAUCCAGAUAGGGAUGUUAAGCUUCUAGUUGCUACCUGUAUUUGUGAAAUAACCCGGAUUACAGCUCCUGAAGCUCCUUACAGUGAUGAUGUCCUGAAGGAUAUUUUUCACUUGAUUGUUGGCACUUUUAGCGGUUUAAGAGAUACUAGUGGUCCAUCAUUUGGAAGGAGAGUUGUUAUUUUGGAGACUCUUGCCAAAUAUAGGUCAUGUGUUGUGAUGUUGGAUCUAGAAUGUGAUGAUCUGGUCUAUCAAAUGUUCAGUACAUUUUUUACUGUUACCAGUGAUGAUCAUCAAGAAAGUGUAUUGACAUCAAUGCAAACAAUAAUGGUUGUGCUCAUAGAAGAAAGUGAGGAUGUUCGGGAGGAUCUUUUGCUUGUCAUUUUAUCGGUAUUAGGUCGAAAUAGAUCUGAUGUUUCUUCAGCUGCAAGGAGACUUGCUAUGAAUGUGAUAGAGCAGUGUGCUGGAAAACUCGAACCUGGAAUAAAGCAGUUCCUUGUAUCAUCAAUAUCAGGAGAUAAUAGGUCGGAAAACAGUCAAAUUGACUAUCAUGAAGUCAUAUAUGACGUUUACUGUUGUGCUCCUGAGAUCUUAUCAGGAGUCAUUCCUUACCUCACAGGAGAACUAUUGACUGAUCAGCUUGACAUUCGUUUAAAAGCAGUGGGGUUGAUUGGAGAUCUGUUUGCUGUGCCUGGCUUUGCUAUCAGUGAAGCAUUUCAACCAAUCUUUUCAGAGUUUUUGAAAAGGUUGACUGAUAGAGGAGUAGAGGUCCGAAUGUCUGUCCUGGAACGUGUCAAAAAAUGUCUGUUGUCAAACCCUUUGCGAGCUGAGGCUUCCCAAAUAAUCUCUGCUCUAUGUGACCGACUAUUGGAUUAUGAUGAGUGUGUCCGAAAACAAGUUGUUGAUGUGAUCUGUGAUGUGGCAUGUCAUGCCUUGAAUUCCAUUCCUGUCGAAACUAUAAAAUUGGUUGUGGAGCGUCUUCGAGACAAAUCUCUGCUUGUUAAGAGAUAUACCAUGGAGAGAAUGGCUGAGAUUUUCAGGGUUUAUUGUGUGAAAUCCUCUCAUGGCUCAGUCGGUCCUGGUGAAUUUGAUUGGAUUCCUGGGAAGAUUAUGAGAUGUUUUUAUGACAGAGAUUUUAGAUCAGAUACAAUUGAAUCAGUUCUUUGUGGGUCCGUGUUCCCAACUGAGUUCUCAGUCAAAGAUAGAGUUAAACUUUGGGUUAGAGUAUUUUCUGUAUUUGACAAAGUCGAGAUGAAAGCUCUUGAGAAGAUUUUGGAGCAGAAGCAAAGGUUACAACAAGAGAUGCAGAGGUAUCUAUCUCUCAGGCAGAUGCAUCAGGAUGGAGAUGCUCCUGAAUUCCAGAAAAAAGUUCUGUUUUGUUUUCGUAUCAUGUCUCGCUCAUUUGCUGAGCCUGCUAAGGCUGAGGAGAAUUUUCAGAUACUUGAUCAAUUGAAAGAUACCAAUAUCUGGAAGAUUUUAACAAAUCUCCUUGAUGCUAACACUGGUUUCCAUCAAGCUUGUACUGGUCGGGAGGAUUUGCUUAAAAUACUUGGAGAGAAACACCGGCUUUAUGAUUUUCUGGGCAAUCUCUCAGUUAAGAGUUCUUAUUUACUUUUCAACAAAGAGCAUGUGAAAGAAAUUCUGUUGGAGGCCACCACACAUAAAUCUGCUGGAAAUACACAAUUUACUCAAUCGUGUAUGGAUAUACUGGUGCUACUUGCACGCUUCAGUCCAAUGCUACUUGGUGGGGCUGAAGAAGAAUUAGUAAAUUUUCUGAAAGAUGAUAAUGAGAUGAUAAAAGAAGGUGCUUUGCACAUUUUGGCGAAGGCUGGGGGUACCAUCCGAGAACAGCUCGCAGUGUCAUCAAGUUCAAUUGACCUUAUAUUGGAGAGGCUCUGCUUAGAAGGUAGUCGAAGACAGGCCAAGUAUGCUGUGCAUGCCCUAGCAGCAAUAACAAAGGAUGAUGGGCUUAAGUCUCUUUCUGUUUUAUACAAGAGACUCGUGGACAUGCUGGAGGAGAAGAGACAUUUGCCUGCUGUACUACAAUCUCUGGGAUGCAUAGCAGAGACUGCAAUGCCAGUUUUUGAAACCAGGGAGAAUGAAAUUGAAGAAUUCAUAAAAAGCAAGAUUCUUAAAUGUGGCAGUAAAGCAGAAGACAAUGGAAAAGCAAGCUGGGAUGACAUAAGUGAACUUUGUUUGUUGAAGAUAUAUGGGAUCAAGACACUUGUCAAGAGCUACUUGCCUGUAAAAGAUGCACAACUUCGUCCUGGCAUUGAUAGCCUUUUGGAGAUCCUGAGGAAUAUUCUUCUGUUUGGAGAAAUAUCAAAGGAUAUAGAAUCGAGUUCAGUUGAUAAGGCCCAUUUGAGACUUGCUUCUGCUAAGGCUGUUCUUCGUUUGUCAAAGCACUGGGAUCACAAGAUACCUUUUGAUGUCUUCCACCUAACUUUAAGGACACCGGAGAUCACUUUCCCCCAAGCUAGGAAACUAUUCCUAAGCAAAGUUCAUCAAUAUAUAAAGGACCGGCUUCUGGAUGUGAAGUAUGCCUGUGCCUUCUUACUUAAUAUAACUGGAUUAAAGCCCCUUGAUUUUGAAGAGGAAAAGCAGAAUCUUGCUGAUAUUAUUCAAAUGCAUUACCAAGCAAAGGCACGUCAACUCUCUGUACAGAGUGAUGCAAGUACCUCAGCUGCAUAUCCUGAAGACAUUCUACCAUAUUUGGUCCAUGCCCUUGCUCAUCAUUCAUGUCCUGACGCUGAUGAAUGCAAGGAUGUUAAAGCAUUUGAGACAAUAUACCGGCAAUUGCACUUGAUUCUUUCUAUUUUGUUGCACAAAGAUGAAGAUGCAAAGUCAGAAUCUAGCACCAACAAAGAGAAGGAGAAUAUAUCUGCAAUAGUUUAUAUCUUUGAAAGUAUCAAGCGUUCAGAGGAUAUAGUUGAUGCAGCAAAGUCAAAGAAUUCUCAUGCAAUCUCUGAACUUGGGCUGGCAAUCACCAAGCGCUUAGCUCCGAAGGAGGAUGAUAUACAAACUUUGGCUUCACCAGUUUCCCUGCCUCCAAUGCUUUACAAAUCACAUGAGAAGAAAGAAGGAGAUGAUUCUCUGGCAACUGAGGGAAAAAUGUGGUUGGCUGAUGAGAAUGUCUUGACUCAAUUUGAAUUGCUUAAUUUAGAAACUGAUGGAAAAAUUAAUUCAGAUAUUGCUGAGGAUGUGGUUCUAAAAGACAGUGAAAGAGAAGCAAAUGAGGUGCCCCUUGGCAAAAUGAUAAAACAGUUAAAAUCGCCUGGCACCAAGGGUGGCAAGGUUAAAAAGAACAAGUCUUUGUCAGCUAAAACAAAAAAUGCUGAAAGUGAUGUUGAUAUCUUGAAGAUGGUCAGGGAAAUAAAUUUGGAUAAUAUGGGGCUCUCUAGUAAGUUUGAGUCAAGCAAUGGUCAUAAAGAUUUUCCAAGUGAAAAAACAAAGUCAGAACUGGAGCAUGAAAAAUCUAAAAAAAUAAAGGCUACUGAUGUAGCAUCUGUUCCAGUACCUAAACGACGGAGAUCAUCAUCUUCUCAUAGCGCAAGACUGUCCUCAAGCAGUUUAAUUUCUCUACUAAGUGCUUCAGGGGAUGAUUCAAGCCCUGAUUCAAAAGAGAAGAAGAAGUCUAUCCCAAAACUAAGGUCCGAGUCUGAUUUGUUGGUAGCAUGCAUGCGAAAGAAUAUAAGCUUCACAUCAAAACACAAAGGCAAACGCACUGACUUGGGUCACAAGAGCAAAGAAAAUGAAGUUGAAGAAGUUGCUAAUCUGAAGAAGUCUGUUGUGUUAGGGGACACUGAUAUGAUAAAUGCAAGUAAUAAUUUUAAGUCUUCAACUGGAAGCAUGAAGAAGAGAAAAAGAAGAAGCAUUGCAGGCUUGGCAAAGUGCACAACAAAAAAAAGUGGAGUUGAUAUUGAAGAACUAAUUGGUUACAGAAUAAAGGUUUGGUGGCCCAUGGAUAAGCAGUUUUAUGAAGGCACUGUUAAAUCUUAUGACCCUAUAAAAAGGAAACAUGUGGUAUGCUGCUCUUUCUUUCGUCCUCGCUCUCACCCCCUAAGCAUGAUUUAUUUUGCUCAUUUUGCAACUUUGUGUAGAUAUUAUAUGAUGACGGAGACAUAGAAGUACUCCGUUUAGAAAAAGAGCGGUGGGAGCUUGUUGACAAAGGUCGCAAAUCUAUGAAGGUUUUACCAACUUAUUGCUUCUGCCAUUUUUCCUUGAAAUAAAGCAAUUGAAUGUUUCCAAGGCAAUCAGAAGUGACUUUGUUUUUCCUUUGCACCAUUUCAGAAGUCAAACUCAUUGAAGCAUCCCCAGUCAACUAAAGUGUAAGGAUUGCCUUCUAAUGAAGAAUAUAAUCAUCUUUAUAAAAUUGAAAAACUGUCAUCAAAACACUAGGUUCUGUAUAAUUAUGUUGUGCUGCUAUUUUUCUUCAUGGCACCAUGUCUUGGUUAUGGCAUUUCUUUUUGUAUGGAAGCUUGAUAUUUCUCUGAGAAUUCCUUAUGCUCUUGCCUAAAAUUUUUGUUACUGUUCUACAGAUCGCCUGCACAGAAAAGUAGAAGUUUGGGUAACAUACGUCAGAACAAGGAAUCAGAAAAUAUGUAAUAGAAAAGUUUUCAUCAUUGUUGAAGUCUUUUACUUUUAUGUCUCCAAUGGCACCACUAUAUAUUUAUUGAUUUUUUUUUUCUUUAGUACUAAAGGAAAAAGAACUCCUAAGAAAAACUCAAAGCGUGUAAAUAAAGAGCCUGAGGUUAAAGAUGACUUUGAUGUAUCAAAUGCUGAACCCACUGGGGAAUCUAAAGGAGACAAGGAAAAACAAGGUGGUUCUCAUGGGGAACGUGAUGAAAGGGUGACAGAGCACUUGACUGAUGUGGAUGAAUCUCAUAAGGAAGUUACAUCAGUUUCUGGAGGAAAACACUUGGGAGACACACUGGAGAACCAAAAUCAAUCAGACGAAUCUGAUGGAGAAGUGAAAUCCAAUUCUGAAGGUAAAGUUUUUGCAGAUACUGAGAGUAUACUAGAAGAUGCUAAAAAAGAUGAUGCAGAAGAGGACUCCAAUCCUGAAGAACGGGAAGAUGAAUCAAGUGAAGGCAUGCGAGAGGAAGCAAAUAAAGACAAAUCAGACUCUGAAGGGACUCAAGAUGAAGACAUUGAUGGGACUACGCUCAGAAAUCCAAAGAAAGCACGUAUCGAAGCAAGUCCUUCCAAUGAAGAGGAUGCUGAGAUAUCUGAUGAUGAGCCUCUUAGCAAAUGGAAGCAUAAAGUACAAAAAUCAGCAUCAAGGAAAGCAAGAUAAGCUGUUAAGGUUGGAAACUGUCUUCUUGUCCAGAGGAAAAACACAGAAAGCUUGGUUCUUGAGUAGAUUCUAAUGCAUUUUGUUUAGGUGGUGUAGUUGGCAGAAGGUGAAAGAAGUUGAAAAAGCCAUUUAAUGUUGUAAACAAACAGUAACGAAUAAAUUCGGAAGUGGUUGGCACUGAUCACAUAUGAAUGUAAAGUAACAAUUGGCACUUCCGUAGGGUUAAGUAGGAAAGUUGAUCGCAAUUUCCUGUAAUUGCCUUGUAUUAGUGGUAGAAAAAACAUAUUGGUGUAAUGGUUAAUGGGGUGUAGUGUAGUUCAUCUUUCUAACCACCAGGAUUGAUUGAUAGAUAGAUCAUUUGUACAGUUUAGUUGGGGAUGGUGUUGUAUGUUGCAUAUUCUUGUUUGAUUUUGACACCCAUCAAAAUGAUCAAGCUGACUUGCUAGUUUGUUUCAU